rnacentral:rRNA from 1 species
UGAGGAAUAUUGGUCAAUGGGCGCAAGCCUGAACCAGCCAUCCCGCGUGCAGGAAGACGGCCCUAUGGGUUGUAAACUGCUUUUCCGGGGGGAGAAUUUUUCCGUCGUGACGGGAAUUGACGGUACCCCGGGAAUAAGCAUCGGCUAACUCCGUGCCAGCAGCCGCGGUAAUACGGAGGAUGCGAGCGUUAUCCGGAUUUAUUGGGUUUAAAGGGUGCGUAGGCGGAAUGAUAAGUCAGUGGUGAAAACCUGCAGCUUAACUGUAGACUUGCCGUUGAUACUGUCAGUCUUGAGUGUGGUCAAGGUAGGCGGAAUGUGUGAUGUAGCGGUGAAAUGCUUAGAUAUUGCACAGAACACCGAUUGCGAAGGCAGCUUACUGGGCCAUUACCGACGCUGAUGCACGAAAGCGUGGGGAUCGAACAG